AUAAUGAACCAAAUCAUACUUAUUUCUCUGAACCUUUUAUGGAUAAGUUUUGACAAGUUUAGGCUUUCAAUGUCAUUUUUGUGUUAUUUGAUUCAAGUGGGUGUUAGGGACCAGAUGUGAAACUAGAAAAAACUGAAGAAUUUCCAUUGACAGAGGUUGCAAGUUCUGGUCAAAGCCAAUCCGGAUUACAUGUAUCAUUUUCGUUGGCCUUUGAGACCAUUCCUAAUAAACUUGAAGCCCAGAGUUCAUAUCUAAGCAGGAUAACAGCUAAGUUGAGGGAAAUAAAGAAAAGUUAUAACGCUACAAUUUCAGAUCCAGGUUCAAUAACGCAUCGUGUGGACAUGCAAUCAUAGAUAUUUUGAGGUUCAAUUUUAAGGGAGCAUGGCACUCUUGGGAAAAAGUAGAUUUAAUGUGUAGAGAUGAACUCUUUAAAUAGUUUAAGGUAUCAACAAACACUACUUGUCGUAUUCUUUUCAAUUUUAAUCACUUAUAGUAUUAUGAAAAUUAUCAACUGAGGUAUUCUUUUGUUUAA